rnacentral:rRNA from 1 species
CCUACGGGAGGCAGCAGUGAGGAAUAUUGGUCAAUGGACGAGAGUCUGAACCAGCCAAGUAGCGUGAAGGAUGACUGCCCUAUGGGUUGUAAACUUCUUUUAUAUGGGAAUAAAACGUUCCACGUGUGGGAUUUUGUAUGUACCAUAUGAAUAAGGAUCGGCUAACUCCGUGCCAGCAGCCGCGGUAAUACGGAGGAUCCGAGCGUUAUCCGGAUUUAUUGGGUUUAAAGGGAGCGUAGGUGGAUUGUUAAGUCAGUUGUGAAAGUUUGCGGCUCAACCGGAAAAUUGCAGUUGAAACUGGCAGUCUUGAGUACAGUAGAGGUGGGCGGAAUUCGUGGUGUAGCGGUGAAAUGCUUAGAUAUCACGAAGAACUCCGAUUGCGAAGGCAGUUCACUGGACUGCAACUGACACUGAGGCUCGAAAGUGUGGGUAUCAAACAGGAUUAGAUACCCCGGUAGUC